UACGUAGGCAGCGAGCGUUGUUCGGAAUUACUGGGCGUAAAGAGUGUGUAGGCGGUGCUCUAAGUUCGGUGUGAAAUCUCCUGGCUUAACUGGGAGGGUGCGCCGGAAACUGGAGUGCUUGAGCGUGGGAGAGGAAAGCGGAAUUCCUGGUGUAGCGGUGAAAUGCGUAGAUAUUGGGAGGAACACCAGUGGCGAAGGCGGCUCACUGGACCGGUACUGACGCUGAUGCGCGAAGGCUAGGGUAGCAAACAGG
rnacentral:rRNA from 1 species